GACGAACGCUGGCGGCGUGCUUAACACAUGCAAGUCGAACGGUGAAGGGACUGGCUUUUGUUGGUUCUGGAUGAGUGGCGAACGGGUGAGUAACACGUGAGUAACCUGCCCCCUUCUUCUGGAUAACCGCAUGAAAGUGUGGCUAAUACGGGAUAUUCUGGGUCUGUCGCAUGGCGGGCCCGGGAAAGAUAUUGCUUCGGUGGGGGAUGGGCUCGCGGCCUAUCAGCUUGUUGGUGGGGUGAUGGCCUACCAAGGCGGUGACGGGUAGCCGGCCUGAGAGGGUGGACGGUCACACUGGGACUGAGACACGGCCCAGACUCCUACGGGAGGCAGCAGUGGGGAAUAUUGCACAAUGGGCGCAAGCCUGAUGCAGCGACGCCGCGUGAGGGAUGGAGGCCUUCGGGUUGUAAACCUCUUUCGCCAGUGAAGCAGGCCUGCUUCCUUGUGGGUGGGGGACGGAGCUGAUAAG
rnacentral:rRNA from 1 species